rnacentral:rRNA from 1 species
AUACGGAGGGCGCAAGCGUUGCCCGGAAUCACUGGGUGUAAAGGGUGCGUAGGCGGGGCUGUAAGUCAGAGGUGAAAGCCCUCGGCUCAACCGGGGAAUUGCCUCUGAAACUGCAGCUCUUGAGUCCCGGAGAGGCCGCUGGAAUUCCUGGUGUAGCGGUGAAAUGCGUAGAUAUCAGGAGGAACACCGGAGGCGAAGGCGGGCGGCUGGACGGGGACUGACGCUGAGGCACGAAAGCGUGGGGAGCAAACAGGAUUAGAAACCCCAGUAGUCC